ACACCUAGCGGAUCACAUGAUAUGAUUGGCUGAAACAAGGUUGAAUCAAGUUAAUUAUUAUUAUAUGCUUAAUUUUAUUCCUAAAUUAUCUUUCUCAGGGCAGCACUCAUGCCCUAAAACAUCCCUUAUCCAUGCUUACUACUUUUCUUUCUUUCAAUUCUCGAUCUGAUCACUACAUUUCUCUCAUACAUAACAAAAACACACACGCAAACA
rnacentral:lncRNA from 1 species